rnacentral:rRNA from 1 species
GACGAACGCUGGCGGCACGCUUAACACAUGCAAGUCGAACGAGAGAAGAGAAGCUUGCUUUUCUGAUCUAGUGGCGGACGGGUGAGUAACACGUGAGCAAUCUGCCUUUCAGAGGGGGAUACCGAUUGGAAACGAUCGUUAAUACCGCAUAACAUAAUUGAACCGCAUGAUUUGAUUAUCAAAGAUUUAUCGCUGAAAGAUGAGCUCGCGUCUGAUUAGCUAGUUGGUAAGGUAACGGCUUACCAAGGCGACGAUCAGUAGCCGGACUGAGAGGUUGAUCGGCCACAUUGGGACUGAGACACGGCCCAGACUCCUACGGGAGGCAGCAGUGGGGAAUAUUGCACAAUGGAGGAAACUCUGAUGCAGCGAUGCCGCGUGAGGGAAGAAGGUUUUAGGAUUGUAAACCUCUGUCUUCAGGGACGAAAAAUGACGGUACCUGAGGAGGAAGCUCCGGCUAACUACGUGCCAGCAGCCGCGGUAAUACGUAGGGAGCGAGCGUUGUCCCGGAUUACUGGGUGUAAAGGGAGCGUAGGCGGGAUCGCAAGUCAGAUGUGAAAACUAUGGGCUUAACCCAUAAACUGCGUUUGAAACUGUGGUUCUUGAGUGAAGUAGAGGUAAGCGGAAUUCCUAGUGUAGCGGUGAAAUGCGUAGAUAUUAGGAGGAACAUCAGUGGCGAAGGCGGCUUACUGGGCUUUAACUGACGCUGAGGCUCGAAAGCGUGGGGAGCAAACAGGAUUAGAUACCCUGGUAGUCCACGCCGUAAACGAUGAUUACUAGGUGUGGGGGGACUGACCCCUUCCGUGCCGCAGCAAACGCAAUAAGUAAUCCACCUGGGGAGUACGACCGCAAGGUUGAAACUCAAAGGAAUUGACGGGGGCCCGCACAAGCAGUGGAGUAUGUGGAUUAAUUCGAAGCAACGCGAAGAACCUUACCAGGUCUUGACAUCGUAUGCAUAGCUCAGAGAUGAGUGAAAUCUCUUCGGAGACAUAUAGACAGGUGGUGCAUGGUUGUCGUCAGCUCGUGUCGUGAGAUGUUGGGUUAAGUCCCGCAACGAGCGCAACCCUUACUGUUAGUUGCUACGCAAGAGCACUCUAGCAGGACUGCCGUUGACAAAACGGAGGAAGGUGGGGAUGACGUCAAAUCAUCAUGCCCCUUAUGACCUGGGCCUCACACGUACUACAAUGGCUGUCAACAGAGGGAAGCAAAGCCGCGAGGUGGAGCGAAUCCCUAAAAGCAGUCUUAGUUCGGAUUGUAGGCUGCAACCCGCCUACAUGAAGUCGGAAUUGCUAGUAAUCGCAGAUCAGCAUGCUGCGGUGAAUACGUUCCCGGGCCU